AGAGUGUUGAUGUCUUUUUAUAUUUUUUUAAGAAAAAUAUAGCAUGUCGUGUCUUUUUAAUAGCUCGGGUUUUUAAAAUUAGUGGUUAACACCAAUGAUCUGACAAGCUAUAUUAGAGAUAGAGGUCAUGAAUUCGGUUUCUGCAUGUUGCGAAUUUAUAUAGGUGUCAGAAAAGAAUAUUAGCUUAAAGAGGCUAGCAUACUACUAAGUGGUGGAAAGGCCAGGUUAGGCUGAGCUUUGUUCAAAAUGGUGGAAGGUUGGAUUAGAUCGAGUCAUAUUUAAAGCGGAGUGAUGAGUCUGAUACUCUGAUUGGACCUAGUCACAAUCGAAAUUCGUGAAUAUUAUAUAUGUUCACUUUAAAUAAAUUAAUGGUGUAUUUCUAAUAAAUCGAGCUUUUGAAUUUAAUAAUUAACACCAACGAUCCAACAUAAUUUUUUUUUUCUUUAUG
rnacentral:lncRNA from 1 species